rnacentral:rRNA from 1 species
UACAGAGGGUGCAAGCGUUGUUCGGAAUUAUUGGGCGUAAAGCGCGUGUAGGCGGCUUUGCAAGUCGGGUGUGAAAGCCCUCAGCUCAACUGAGGAAGUGCGCCCGAAACUGCAGAGCUUGAGUACCGGAGAGGAUGGUGGAAUUCCCCAAGUAGAGGUGAAAUUCGUAGAUAUGGGGAGGAACACCGGUGGCGAAGGCGACCAUCUGGACGGAUACUGACGCUGCGACGCGAAAGCGUGGGUAGCAAACAGG